GCCCAGCUAGCUCAGUCGGUAGAGCAUGAGACUCUUAAUCUCAGGGUCGUGGGUUUGAGCCCCAUGUUGGGCA
rnacentral:tRNA from 1 species